rnacentral:rRNA from 1 species
AUUGAACGCUGGCGGCAGGCCUAACACAUGCAAGUCGAGCGAGCGGCGGACGGGUGCGUAAUGUCUUGGAAACUGCCUGCUGGAGUGGGAUAACUACUGGAAACGGCAGCUAAUACCGCAUACCAUCAGCUUUGCCCAUAUGGGUUUAGCUAGUAGGUGGGGUAACUGCUCACCUAGGCGACGAUCCCUAGCUGAUCUGAGAGGAUGACCAGCCACACUGGAACGGAGAAACGGUCCAGACUCCUACGGGAGGCAGCAGUGGGGAAUAUUGGACAAUGGGCGCAAGCCUGAUGCAGCCAUGCAGCGUGUGUGAAGAAGGCCUUCGGGUUGUAAAGCACUUUCAGCGGGGAGGCGGUACCCACAGAAGAAGCACCGGCUAACUCCGUGCCAGCAGCCGCGGUAAUAC